AACGAACGCUGGCGGCAGGCUUAACACAUGCAAGUCGAACGAUGUAGCAAUACAUAGUGGCGCACGGGUGAGUAACACGUGGGUGAUCUGCCCUGCACUUUGGGAUAAGCCUGGGAAACUGGGUCUAAUACCGGAUAGGACUACGGCCUGCAUGGGUUGUGGUGGAAAGCUUUUGCGGUGUGGGAUGGGCCCGCGGCCUAUCAGCUUGUUGGUGGGGUGAUGGCCUACCAAGGCGACGACGGGUAGCCGGCCUGAGAGGGUGUCCGGCAACACUGGGACUGAGGUACGGGCCAGACGCCUAGGGGAGGCAGCAGUGGGGAAUAUUGCACAAUGGGCGCAAGCCUGAUGCAGCGACGCCGCGUGGGGGAUGACGGCCUUCGGGUUGUAAACCCCUUUCAGCACAGACGAAGCGAAAGUGACGGUAUGUGCAGAAGAAGCACCGGCCAACUACGUGCCAGCAGCCGCCGUAA
rnacentral:rRNA from 1 species